rnacentral:rRNA from 1 species
GACGAACGCUGGCGGCGUGCUUAACACAUGCAAGUCGAGCGGUGAACCAGAGCUUGCUCUGGGGAUCAGUGGCGAACGGGUGAGUAACACGUGGGCAACCUGCCCAGACUCUGGGAUAACUCCGGGAAACCGGAGCUAAUACCGGAUAUGACUACUUCGGACAUCCGACGGUAGUGGAAAGUUUUUCGGUCUGGGAUGGGCCCGCGGCCUAUCAGCUAGUUGGUGGGUAAUGGCCUACCAAGGCGACGACGGAUAGCCGGCCUGAGAGGGCGACCGGCCACACUGGAACUGAGACACGGUCCAGACUCCUACGGAAGGCAGCAGUGGGGAAUAUUGCACAAUGGGCGAAAGCCUGAUGCAGCGACGCCGCGUGAGGGACGACGGCCUCGGUUGUAACCGUACUUUCUAGCAGGACGAAGCGAAGUGACUGUACCUGCAGAAGAAGCACCGGC